rnacentral:misc_RNA from 1 species
GUGUUGAGAGGGACGAACGGAAAUUUCAUGAGCCCAACCACACCACCUUCCGUACAUUCGCAAUCUCAUCGGAUAGUCAUCGAACGUCGCGGGAUGCCGCAUUAAUAACGGACUGACCGAGCGAUUUUUGUAUCUGGGACGAAUAUUUGUGGGCUCGGAAGCGUUUAAUUACUCCUGCUGCAGCUCCUCGAAUGACCACACAGAGAGAUUACCUUCUCCGACCACAG